AGUUCCCUAGACCAUUGGCCAAUCAUAAUGUUCUUGAGCCGAUAUUUUACCCCCGGAGGCUACUCCGCAAUGUUGUUGUGCAUGUCCGCUUGUCGGAAAGCCUUAUUCGUUGCGAGGGCCACCACCUGAACUUUUCGGUUCAGGGCAACUUUGAUAGCGGUGUUCCGGGGAGCUU
rnacentral:other from 1 species